GGUUAACCGUAUAGGGGAGCCGCAGGGAAACCGAGUCUUAACCGGGCGUUAAGUUGCAGGGUAUAGACCCGAAACCCGGUGAUCUAGCCAUGGGCAGGUUGAAGGUUGGGUAACACUAACUGGAGGACCGAACCGACUAAUGUUGAAAAAUUAGCGGAUGACCUGUGGCUGGGGGUGAAAGGCCAAUCAAACCGGGAGAUAGCUGGUUCUCCCCGAAAGCUAUUUAGGUAGCGCCUCGUGAACUCAUCUCCGGGGGUAGAGCACUGUUUCGGCUAGGGGGCCAUCCCGGCUUACCAACCCGAUGCAAACUGCGAAUACCGGAGAAUGUUAUCACGGGAGACACACGGCGGGUGCUAACGUCCGUCGUGAAGAGGGAAACAACCCAGACCGCCAGCUAAGGUCCCAAAGUCAUGGUUAAGUGGGAAACGAUGUGGGAAGGCCCAGACAGCCAGGAUGUUGGCUUAGAAGCAGCCAUCAUUUAAAGAAAGCGUAAUAGCUCACUGGUCGAGUCGGCCUGCGCGGAAGAUGUAACGGGGCUAAACCAUGCACCGAAGCUGCGGCAGCGACACUAUGUGUUGUUGGGUAGGGGAGCGUUCUGUAAGCCUGUGAAGGUGGCCUGUGAGGGUUGCUGGAGGUAUCAGAAGUGCGAAUGCUGACAUAAGUAACGAUAAAGCGGGUGAAAAGCCCGCUCGCCGGAAGACCAAGGGUUCCUGUCCAACGUUAAUCGGGGCAGGGUGAGUCGACCCCUAAGGCGAGGCCGAAAGGCGUAGUCGAUGGGAAACGGGUUAAUAUUCCCGUACUUGGUGUUACUGCGAAGGGGGGACGGAGAAGGCUAUGUUGGCCGGGCGACGGUUGUCCCGGUUUAAGCGUGUAGGUGUGUGUUCCAGGUAAAUCCGGUUCACUUUAACACUGAGGCGUGAUGACGAGGCACUACGGUGCUGAAGCAACAAAUGCCCUGCUUCCAGGAAAAGCCUCUAAGCAUCAGGUAACAUCAAAUCGUACCCCAAACCGACACAGGUGGUCAGGUAGAGAAUACCAAGGCGCUUGAGAGAACUCGGGUGAAGGAACUAGGCAAAAUGGUGCCGUAACUUCGGGAGAAGGCACGCUGACAUGUAGGUGAAGUGAUUUACUCAUGGAGCUGAAGUCAGUCGAAGAUACCAGCUGGCUGCAACUGUUUAUUAAAAACACAGCACUGUGCAAACACGAAAGUGGACGUAUACGGUGUGACGCCUGCCCGGUGCCGGAAGGUUAAUUGAUGGGGUCAGCGCAAGCGAAGCUCCUGAUCGAAGCCCCGGUAAACGGCGGCCGUAACUAUAACGGUCCUAAGGUAGCGAAAUUCCUUGUCGGGUAAGUUCCGACCUGCACGAAUGGCGUAAUGAUGGCCAGGCUGUCUCCACCCGAGACUCAGUGAAAUUGAACUCGCUGUGAAGAUGCAGUGUACCCGCGGCAAGACGGAAAGACCCCGUGAACCUUUACUAUAGCUUGACACUGAACAUUGAGCCUUGAUGUGUAGGAUAGGUGGGAGGCUUUGAAGUGUGGACGCCAGUCUGCAUGGAGCCGACCUUGAAAUACCACCCUUUAAUGUUUGAUGUUCUAACGUGGACCCGUAAUCCGGGUUGCGGACAGUGUCUGGUGGGUAGUUUGACUGGGGCGGUCUCCUCCUAAAGAGUAACGGAGGAGCACGAAGGUUGGCUAAUCCUGGUCGGACAUCAGGAGGUUAGUGCAAUGGCAUAAGCCAGCUUGACUGCGAGCGUGACGGCGCGAGCAGGUGCGAAAGCAGGUCAUAGUGAUCCGGUGGUUCUGAAUGGAAGGGCCAUCGCUCAACGGAUAAAAGGUACUCCGGGGAUAACAGGCUGAUACCGCCCAAGAGUUCAUAUCGACGGCGGUGUUUGGCACCUCGAUGUCGGCUCAUCACAUCCUGGGGCUGAAGUAGGUCCCAAGGGUAUGGCUGUUCGCCAUUUAAAGUGGUACGCGAGCUGGGUUUAGAACGUCGUGAGACAGUUCGGUCCCUAUCUGCCGUGGGCGCUGGAGAACUGAGGGGGGCUGCUCCUAGUACGAGAGGACCGGAGUGGACGCAUCACUGGUGUUCGGGUUGUCAUGCCAAUGGCACUGCCCGGUAGCUAAAUGCGGAAGAGAUAAGUGCUGAAAGCAUCUAAGCACGAAACUUGCCCCGA
rnacentral:rRNA from 1 species